CGGGUGACGUUAACGGCGUCGAGCGGCGGACGGGUGAGUAAUGCCUGGGAAUAUGCCUUGAUGUGGGGGAUAACCAUUGGAAACGAUGGCUAAUACCGCAUAAUCUCUACGGAGCAAAGAGGGGGACCUUCGGGCCUCUCGCGUCAAGAUUAGCCCAGGUGGGAUUAGCUAGUUGGUGAGGUAAAGGCUCACCAAGGCGACGAUCCCUAGCUGGUCUGAGAGGAUGAUCAGCCACACUGGAACUGAGACACGGUCCAGACUCCUACGGGAGGCAGCAGUGGGGAAUAUUGCACAAUGGGCGCAAGCCUGAUGCAGCCAUGCCGCGUGUGUGAAGAAGGCCUUCGGGUUGUAAAGCACUUUCAGUCGUGAGGAAGGUGGUGUCGUUAAUAGCUGCCUCGUUUGACGUUAGCGACAGAAGAAGCACCGGCUAA
rnacentral:rRNA from 1 species